rnacentral:rRNA from 1 species
UUCCAGACUCCUACGGGAGGCAGCAGUGGGGAAUAUUGCACAAUGGGGGAAACCCUGAUGCAGCGACGCCGCGUGAGUGAAGAAGUAUUUCGGUAUGUAAAGCUCUAUCAGCAGGGAAGAAAAUGACGGUACCUGACUAAGAAGCCCCGGCUAACUACGUGCCAGCAGCCGCGGUAAUACGUAGGGGGCAAGCGUUAUCCGGAUUUACUGGGUGUAAAGGGAGCGUAGACGGCAUGGCAAGUCAGAUGUGAAAGCCCGGGGCUCAACCCCGGGACUGCAUUUGAAACUGUCAGGCUGGAGUGCAGGAGAGGUAAGUGGAAUUCCUAGUGUAGCGGUGAAAUGCGUAGAUAUUAGGAGGAACACCAGUGGCGAAGGCGUCUUACUGGACCGAAACUGACGUUGAGGCUCGAAAGCGUGGGGAGCAAACAGGAUUAGAUACCCUAGUAG